UUUUUCGGAGAGUUUGAUCCUGGCUCAGGACGAACGCUGGCGGCGUGCCUAAUACAUGCAAGUCGAGCGGACAGAAGGGAGCUUGCUCCCGGAUGUUAGCGGCGGACGGGUGAGUAACACGUGGGUAACCUGCCUGUAAGACUGGGAUAACUCCGGGAAACCGGAGCUAAUACCGGAUAGUUCCUUGAACCGCAUGGUUCAAGGAUGAAAGACGGUUUCGGCUGUCACUUA
rnacentral:rRNA from 1 species